UUUUUGCGAAAAUACCAAUCAAAAUAUUACACCGUCUAAUUUUAGGCUUGACCAACCCCAAGUUUCUACAUCCAAGAAACUUGUUACAAUAACAAACAAAGAUAUAUAGAAAAUAAAGUUUAUAAAUAAUAAAACUUUUUUAAGCUCUGAAGAAGUUGAGGUAGAUAAGUAGUUGAUUGCUUGGACUUCUUCCUUGAAUACUUGAGAGGAUUGAGGAAGCUUUCAAUGCUUUUAUACAAAAGUAGUUAGCUCAGAUUAAUACUCUUUUCCUCUCUUUCAAGUGAAUUGAAUGUGGGAAUGAUUGAAUUUAAUGUGCUCUUGACUUGUUUUCUCUUUCUCUUUUAAUUCCACUCACCAGCUUAAAAAAUAUAACUUAAUAAACUCCAAAAGCUUCAAAAAGUUGUUCUCUCUUAGAAUCCUUUGCAUUUAUGGCCUCACAAAUAUCUAAAAUUAAUACUCUAGCCGUUGAAAACUUGAAAAUGGCUGAUAAAAAUAUUUUAGAUAUAUUUUAAAAAUUUUAAAAAAUUAGCCAUUAUUCUAUAAGAAAAUUGUUAGUCGGCUCACUUAAGUUCUUAGUCGGCUAACCUUCGACAUUGAGUCGAGUAAGUAAAAAUUCUAAGAUGGCUCAGUAGUAGAUUCCAAAAUUUUAUCAUUCUGUCUGUUUGAGACUGUGUUGACUUAGAUCUCUUCUUAGUCGGCUAGCUUAAUUACUUUGUUGGCUAACUGAUUUUCUGGAUCGGCUCAAAAGACUUGCUGAUUUAUAGUGCUUUCUAUGUUCUUCUGCUUCUGAGGCUAAGUCGGCUAUCUUUUUUCUUGAGUCGGCUAAGCUUCAAUCUUGGUUGGCUAACUCGAUCAUCGGAUCAGCUUAGAAAAAUAUCUUAAAUCUUUAUUUUUCUAUCUUCAUUCUGAGUUUGAGAUUUGGUUAGCUAUCCAAAAGCUUGAGUUGGCUAAGACCCUAUCUUGAUUAUCUAAGAUGAAGGCUUGGUUGGCUAAGAAAACUUCUAUGAAUUUUUUUGAUUUCUAUUUUUUUCUUGGACUAAAAUUGGGUUGGCUAAGCUUCUCACC
rnacentral:lncRNA from 1 species